rnacentral:rRNA from 1 species
AACGGGUGAGUAACACGUGAGUAACCUGCCCCUGACUCUGGGAUAAGCGUUGGAAACGACGUCUAAUACUGGAUAUGACAACUGAUCGCAUGGUCUGGUUGUGGAAAGAUUUUUUGGUUGGGGAUGGACUCGCGGCCUAUCAGCUUGUUGGUGAGGUAAUGGCUCACCAAGGCGACGACGGGUAGCCGGCCUGAGAGGGUGACCGGCCACACUGGGACUGAGACACGGCCCAGACUCCUACGGGAGGCAGCAGUGGGGAAUAUUGCACAAUGGGCGCAAGCCUGAUGCAGCAACGCCGCGUGAGGGAUGACGGCCUUCGGGUUGUAAACCUCUUUUAGUAGGGAAGAAGCGAAAGUGACGGUACCUGCAGAAAAAGCACCGGCUAACUACGUGCCAGCAGCCGCGGUAAUACGUAGGGUGCAAGCGUUGUCCGGAAUUAUUGGGCGUAAAGAGCUCGUAGGCGGUUUGUCGCGUCUGCUGUGAAAUCCCGAGGCUCAACCUCGGGCUUGCAGUGGGUACGGGCAGACUAGAGUGCGGUAGGGGAGAUUGGAAUUCCUGGUGUAGCGGUGGAAUGCGCAGAUAUCAGGAGGAACACCGAUGGCGAAGGCANAUCUCUGGGCCGUAACUGACGCUGAGGAGCGAAAGCGUGGGGAGCGAACAGGAUUAGAUACCCUGGUAGUCCACGCCGUAAACGUUGGGCGCUAGAUGUAGGGACCUUUCCACGGUUUCUGUGUCGUAGCUAACGCAUUAAGCGCCCCGCCUGGGGAGUACGGCCGCAAGGCUAAAACUCAAAGGAAUUGACGGGGGCCCGCACAAGCGGCGGAGCAUGCGGAUUAAUUCGAUGCAACGCGAAGAACCUUACCAAGGCUUGACAUACACCGGAAACGGCCAGAGAUGGUCGCCCCCUUGUGGUCGGUGUACAGGUGGUGCAUGGUUGUCGUCAGCUCGUGUCGUGAGAUGUUGGGUUAAGUCCCGCAACGAGCGCAACCCUCGUUCUAUGUUGCCAGCGGUUCGGCCGGGGACUCAUAGGAGACUGCCGGGGUCAACUCGGAGGAAGGUGGGGAUGACGUCAAAUCAUCAUGCCCCUUAUGUCUUGGGCUUCACGCAUGCUACAAUGGCCGGUACAAAGGGCUGCGAUACCGUAAGGUGGAGCGAAUCCCAAAAAGCCGGUCUCAGUUCGGA